AUUGAACGCUGGCGGCAUGCCUUACACAUGCAAGUCGAACGGUAACGCGGGGCAACCUGGCGACGAGUGGCGAACGGGUGAGUAAUGCAUCGGAACGUGCCCAGUAGUGGGGGAUAGCCCGGCGAAAGCCGGAUUAAUACCGCAUACGACCUACGGGUGAAAGGGGGGGAUCGCAAGACCUCUCGCUAUUGGAGCGGCCGAUGUCAGAUUAGGGAGUUGGUGGGGUAAAGGCCUACCAAGCCUACGAUCUGUAGCUGGUCUGAGAGGACGACCAGCCACACUGGGACUGAGACACGGCCCAGACGCCUACGGGAGGCAGCAGUGGGGAAUUUUGGACAAUGGGCGCAAGCCUGAUUCAGCCAUGCCGCGUGCGGGAAGAAGGCCUUCGGGUUGUAAACCGCUUUUGUCAGGGAAGAAACGCUCUGGACUAAUACUCUGGGGUAAUGACGGUACCUGAAGAAUAAGCACCGGCUAACUACGUGCCAGCAGCCGCGGUAA
rnacentral:rRNA from 1 species